rnacentral:rRNA from 1 species
CAGCUAGCAUCAACGACCCGUGAAACGUGUUUUCAACCUUUUGUGUCGGGGGGAGCAUUCGUGCCCCCUUUGAUGCCUAAACCAAAACCGGCGCAAGUCGCGCCAAGGAGCUCAAACGAAUAAGCUUGCCCCUUGCCCCGGUCUCGGUGUGCGGGGGGCAAAGCAUUCUUGUCGUAUUAUUCACUACGACUCUCGGCAACGGAUAUCUCGGCUCUCGCAUCGAUGAAGAACGUAGCGAAAUGCGAUACUUGGUGUGAAUUGCAGGAUCCCGCGAACCACCGAGUCUUUGAACGCAAGUUGCGCCCGGAGCCUUCUGGCCGAGGGCACGUCUGCCUGGGCGUCACGCAUCGCUGCCCCCACAUACAACACCCACUUAGGUCUGUUGCAUUGGCGGGGGCACAUGUUGGCCUCCCGUGCGCACUGUCGCACGGAUGGCUUAAAAUUGAGUCCUCGGCAUCUGUUGUCGUGACACUACGGUGGUUGAUUCAACCUCGGUACCGUGUCUCGAUCUCAGCUUGCGUGCCUCCUCUUUGUGAGUGAGGGAGGAAUCUUAUGUUGACCCUUUGAACAUUGUCCCCAAAGAUGAUGCUCUCGACGCGACCCCAGGUCAGGCGGGACUACCCGCUGAGUUUAAGCAUAUC